GUUCUGUUGAUAUGAUAUACGAGACGAAGUUAAAAUUGUUUGUCGAAGAUAUUGAUACCAUGCUUCGAGGUAAAGCUUCUAAGUAUAUUGUAUAAGUGACCGUACUGUAAACCGACACUGGUGGGUAGGUAGUGAAUACUAAGGCUAUGAGAUAACUCUGGUGAAGGAACUAGGCAAAAUGACACCGUAACUUUGGAAGACGGUGUGCCAUUGAUGGUGAUGAGACUUGCUCUGUGAGCUGUUGGUGGUUGC
rnacentral:rRNA from 1 species